rnacentral:rRNA from 1 species
AUUGAACGCUGGCGGAAUGCUUUACACAUGCAAGUCGAACGGCAGCACGGACUUCGGUCUGGUGGCGAGUGGCGAACGGGUGAGUAAUGUAUCGGAACGUGCCCAGUCGUGGGGGAUAACGUAGUGAAAAUUACGCUAAUACCGCAUACGAUCUAUGGAUGAAAGCGGGGGAUCGCAAGACCUCGCGCGAUCGGAGCGGCCGAUAUCAGGUUAGGUAGUUGGUGGGGUAAAGGCCCACCAAGCCAACGAUCAGUAGCUGGUCUGAGAGGACGACCAGCCACACUGGAACUGAGACACGGUCCAGACUCCUACGGGAGGCAGCAGUGGGGAAUUUUGGACAAUGGGCGAAAGCCUGAUCCAGCCAUUCCGCGUGCAGGAUGAAGGCCCUCGGGUUGUAAACUGCUUUUGUACAGAACGAAAAGGUUUCUACUAAUACUAGGAGCUCAUGACGGUACUGUAAGAAUAAGCACCGGCUAACUACGUGCCAGCAGCCGCCGUAA